CAAGAAGUCAAAUACCAAAGAAUUGCUCCAAUGAAGAAGAACUGAACACAUUAGAAGCAAUGCGCUCGGUUUCUGUCGGUGAAAUAUGAAGCUGACAUUUGAUGAACCUCUGCCAUUAAUGAAUACAGCAAAUGCAGAAGGAAAAGUCUCAAGGUGUAACUAAGUCUAUCCGGGCGGAUGGAGUAUGAGUGUUGUGAAUAGAAAUUGUUGAAGUUUGUUCAAUACAUUUUAAGUAAAGAAGACGGAUACGAUAACGGAGCCAAACCAAUCAAGAAACACUAAGCCCGGUCCAUUCGGAUGGAUGGGCAUAGCCCAUUCGAGCGAAAGUGCUGUUCUUGACGGAGAUUCAUGCUUGACCCGUUAGUUGGACCAUCUCCUUGAUGCAAACCAUUCCUACAGCCGGCUCUCGACAAUGGGAGGUGUCGAGAGUCUGACGGGUUCACGAUUUCCACCAAUGUUGCAUAAAAACCAAAAGAGAGCUCAUAAAUGUGUUGUAAAACGUGAUUUUCUCUGAAACUUGAUUCAAUCUCGAUUGAGUGAUGCUCCACAGCAGUUUGCCUCAGCAAAACGAGUGGAAACCAUCUUCGAAAUGUCUAAAAUCAAUGAUUUUAAGUAAAGUUGAAGGUUGUGUGCGUGUGUUUGUGAUUAUAAAGCAAGAAGAUGGAGUAGGAGUGGAAUGAAGGUUGAAACCGGAGAGAAAACUUACAAUAAGCCUCGAAUGAGAGUCGGAACUUUGAGAGCGGAUGAGAGGAGGUGAAGAAUUGAAAUGAAGACACAAGGCUCUAUUUAUAGGUGAUGGUGACAGGUCUUGAUGCGCUCGAAUGGCCAUAUUCGGAUGGGCUCCAUCCGGACGGAUGGGCUCCAUUCGGACGACUGGGUUUUGGCGUUUUAUUAAAUUCCAACUUUUAAGUGUUGCAUUGUGUUUCGUUGUGAUAAAGCGAGUUGCGAGGGUUUACUUUUGAGUGUUUAUCAACCACACAUAACAUAUUAAACACGUUAGUUUCUCGUGCAUUUAAAUAUCAAAGUGUAACAAAGAGUCAAGAAUAGGGGCGGAUGUAGCUUAUACCAGGGGGCAACGCCCGCUACGGCUUGGCACGGAAAAAUUUGGAAAAAUUAAUGUAAAUUUCGGAAAAAUUUAACGUUUU